rnacentral:rRNA from 1 species
AAGAACGUUGGCGGCGUGGAUAGGCAUGCAAGUCGAACGAGGACAGUCUUGUAGCAAUACAGGGCUGAACCGAGUGGCGAAGAGGGCAGUAAGGCGUGGGUAACGUACCCCGGGGACUGGAUAGUCAUCCUAACGGGUGGGUAAUACCAGGCGAUGUUAGUGAGAUCGCAUGACCUUGCUACGAAACGAAUUUCGCCUCGGGAGUGGCUCACGUGGUAUUAGCUUGUUGGUGGGGUAACGGCCUACCAAGGCGAAGAUGCCUAGCAGGUGUGAGAGCACGACCUGCGCCACUGGCACUGAGACACUGGCCAGACUCCUACGGGAGGCUGCAGUCGAGGAUCUUCGGCAAUGGGGCGCAAGCCUGACCGAGCGACGCCGCGUGUGCGAUGAAGGCCUUCGGGUUGUAAAGCACUUUGGCAGGGGAGGAAGGCCCGUAAGGGCUUGACCUAUCCUGAGAACAAGCACGGGCUAAGUUCGUGCCAGCAGCCGCGGUAAGACGAACCGUGCGAACGUUGUUCGGAUUCACUGGGCUUAAAGGGCGCGUAGGCGGAUUGGCAAGUCAGGGGUGAAACCUUUCGGCUCAACCGGAAAACAGCCCCUGAUACUGGCAAUCUUGAGGGAGGUAGGGGCAGGUGGAACUUCCGGUGGAGCGGUGAAAUGUGUUGAUAUCGGAAGGAACGCCGGGUGGCGAAAGCGACCUGCUGGAUCUCUUCUGACGCUGAGGCGCGAAAGCUAGGGUAGCGAACGGGAUUAGAUACCCCGGUAGUCCUAGCCCUAAACGAUGGGUACUAGAUUGUGGACUUAACAUGGGUUCACAGUCGAAGCAAAAGUGGUAAGUACCCCGCCUGGGGAGUAUGGUCGCAAGGCUGAACUCAAAGGAAUUGACGGGGGCUCACACAAGCGGUGGAGCAUAUGGCUUAAUUCGAGGCUACGCGAAGAACCUUAUCCUGGGCUUGACAUGUGCGAAAGCGGUAGGAUGUACCCAGCGGAAACGUUCGGGGAACGGUAUCCAAUCCGGAGCCUACUACAGGUGCUGCAUGGCUGUCGUCAGCUCGUGUCGUGAGAUGUCGGGUUAAGUCCCAUAACGAGCGAAACCCUUGUCUUCAGUUGCCAGCGGGUCAUGCCGGGACUCUGGAGAGACUGCCGGUGUUAAACCGGAGGAAGGUGGGGAUGACGUCAAGUCCUCAUGGCCUUUAUGCCCAGGGCUGCACACGUGCUACAAUGGCGUAUACAGAGGGAUGCCAACCCGCGAGGGGGAGCAAAUCUCAAAAAAUACGCCCCAGUUCAGAUUGAAGGCUGCAACUCGCCUUCAUGAAGUUGGAAUCGCUAGUAAUCGCAGGUCAGCAACACUGCGGUGAAUGUGUUCCUGAGCCUUGUACACACCGCCCGUCAAGCCACGAAAGAUCGGGGCGUCCGAAGUCGCUGCGCCAACCGCAAGGGGCAGGCGCCGAAGACGAAACGGUCGAUUGGGACU